UACAGAGGUCUCAAGCGUUGUUCGGAUUCAUUGGGCGUAAAGGGUGCGUAGGCGGCGCGGUAAGUCGGGUGUGAAAUCUCGGAGCUUAACUCCGAAACUGCAUUCGAUACUGCCGGUGCUUGAGGACUGGAGAGGAGACUGGAAUUUACGGUGUAGCGGUGAAAUGCGUAGAUAUCGUAAAGGAAGACCAGUGGCGAAGGCGGGUCUCGUGGACAGUUCCUGACGCUGAGGCACGAAGGCCAGGGGAGCAAACGGG
rnacentral:rRNA from 1 species